CAAGGUGGAUAGCUACGUCCUAGAACUGGUUCCUAUGUUUUUCUAGGGCAUGUGGACUAGGGAUGGGUUCUUGAGCAGAAGCCAGGAAGUUAAGAGUUUGUGCAGGAGUCACCUGAAGGGUCAGAAGUUAGGGUCCUGUAUGCUUAACAAGAUAUUCAGAUUGGAUGUGCACACCCCAACUCCAGGACUGAGGGGUGGAGAGACUAAUCCACAAAAUUUCCUUAAACUGCAGAAGCUCCAGGGCCUCCUGAAUCCCUGAUAUUCUCUGAGGGAACCAGGACUUCUUAGUCUUAAAAUUUAUUUUUCUUACCAUAAAAUGUCAGCUCCUUUAAUGUAGUGCAAUAUUUUGGUAAAUGGUGUUGAAUAGGAGAUAGGAUGACAGAAACCUAUAUUUAACCUAACAAUCACUUUUACCACUACCAAGAGUAUUGAAAGUUUUGAAAAGACAAAAUUAUUGUCUUUGAUUCAAUUUGCUGUAAAUUUGGAUCCCCCCCCCCCGCAAUUGUAGUCAAAAGGUCUAGUUUGAUUCAACAGUCUUGAAUUUUACUGUCUAAUUUGCCUCAUGCGCCCAAAUGAUGUUAUAUUUGGAUUUCUGAUGCUGCAAACAAAUCUAAUCAAAACAUGAGCUUAAGAAAUGAGGAUGUUGCUUGAAGCUAUGCCUGUGUAAACACUGAAGCUAAAAAUAGGUCAUCACGAACUAGAUUGAUAAGGAAACCAGCAUCCUCAAACUGUAUGUGAAACUCUCUGAAGCAAUAGCAGACUAUUCUCCUAUGCCCCAUGAUAUCCC